UAGUGAAUGAGGAGUUACCCUGAUAGUAGCUAGCUAGCGAUAAUAAGUAACAUUUAUAAAGUAUUCUAAGGUUUACAAAGCACUUUGUACAUAUUAUCUCAUUUUGUGUUCACAGCAACCCAGAGAUGUAGCUGCUAAUGGGAAUCCUCUGAUGCAAUUGGGCGAGUUCAUGAGAAUCAUCAUUAAGGCUCUACCUGCAAUCAAUAGCGAGGUCUCCAGAGAGUCUGAGUGCAGCUUCUGCCUUGAGAACUGAGGCACACAGAAGCCCAACUAGACCCAGUAAGGAAAGGCAUCUUUGGAACUCUACAAGGCACCAACCCUCAGAGCCCCGCAGCAAGCUAUAACUGAGAGUAAUUUCACGAGGAUGUCACAAAGAGAGAAAAGUAUCCCAGUAACCAGGAUCUGUGGCCAUAUGAAUGCUCCAAGUGAGAUCCCACUUUUCUGAAUAACCUUGUACGGGGAGAACGUAUACCUUGUGGGUCUGUGUGUAUGUUUGUAUUUCCAGAAAAACUAUUCUCGCUACAUGCCUACUUAGUAAUAACACCUUUUCUGAAAAGCUAAUGAAGUCUGACUGAUAAGUCUACAAGAGGCACACUAGAUGGUGGCUUGAAAACCCCAACGCUUCAGAGCUAACCCAAGAAUUCUGAAGGAAGAGUUGGCGGCUGCCUUCUGGGGACCCGACCUCCCAACACUAGUAGCAUUUGGGGGAAAUAACCCCCAGAAGCAGUGUUAUACUAGCAUGAGGCGUCUCCUGGAAACCUAACAUCAGUUAUUUCAAAUAAUCCAUCAAAAUAUGGAUUAAUCAGCACCCUAAAGUGCUCCGUCCUUUCCUUUUUCUCAUCCUAGAAGAUAAGAUGAAAAAACCCACAUAUCAGAAAGCUUUAUCUUUGUCUUUCCUCUUUUUCUCGUUCCCACCUCU
rnacentral:lncRNA from 1 species